AAGUGACUGCCGAAGACAGCAGGUGCCGUAAGGCAUAAGAAGUAUACGCCUGCCGAGGAAGAACAGAUUCAAAAUGAAUUGUUGUGUCUCCAUGUCUUAGGGCUGGAGAUUUUUUUAUAC
rnacentral:sRNA from 1 species